UACGUAGGUUGCAAGCGUUGUCCGGAAUUAUUGGGCGUAAAGAGUUCGUAGGCGGUUUGUCGCGUCUGCUGUGAAAACUCGGGGCUUAACUCCGGGCCUGCAGUGGGUACGGGCAGACUAGAGUGCGGUAGGGGAGACUGGAAUUCCCGGUGUAGCGGUGAAAUGCGCAGAUAUCGGGAAGAACACCCGUGGCGAAGGCGGUUCUCUGGAACGGUACUGACGCUGAGACGCGAAAGCGUGGGGAGCGAACAGG
rnacentral:rRNA from 1 species